CAGUCGCCACGGGAAUACGAAGGGUGCAAGCGUUACUCGGAAUUACUGGGCGUAAAGCGUGCGUAGGUGGUGGGUUAAGUCCGUUGUGAAAGCCCUGGGCUCAACCUGGGAAUUGCAGUGGAUACUGGGUCACUAGAGUGUGGUAGAGGAUAGUGGAAUUUCCGGUGUAGCAGUGAAAUGCGUAGAGAUCGGAAGGAACAUCUGUGGCGAAGGCGACUAUCUGGGCCAACACUGACACUGAGGCACGAAAGCGUGGGGAGCAAACAGGAUUAGAGACCCCUGUAGUCCCUGUCUCUUAUAC
rnacentral:rRNA from 1 species